GAGAAACACGAGUUUUAAUCGAUUCAACCAUUGCAAGGCGCUAAUUAUUAUGCAUAUAUAUAGAAUUAAAAGAAUAGACAACAUGGCAUAUUUGCAAUAUACAUAUCAAUAAAAAUAUCAUCAAAAGACAACAUUGCAGUAGUAACGUAAUAUGAUCAAAUAAACUGAUAACAUAACAAGAUAAUAGAGAUAAUUUAAAGCGUGCUUAAUGGACAGGUAACAAUUUAAACGAGUCAAAAGCAGUAAACAAAAAAAAUGUAACAUUUUUAAUUCAAAACACUUCAAACUGGGUACUUAUACCAUAGACCGUAAUCAGUCUUCUUUUAGUUAAACGCGUGCUGUGGUGAAAUCCGUACGUGCGUUUUUAAUCGGUGCUUAAAAAUAUUUAAUAUUCAAUAUCACAACACCUCUAAAUCUUAGCUGAGUUUUUUUCCUAUAACGUUCAUUUAAAUUUUUGCACGAUAAAUUUCUCUAAAAAUCCUUUUUUUUCGUAUGCGACUUGUCAGAAUUUUUAGAACUCAACACUUAUUUAUGUGUAUGUAUAUGCACUGAAUUUUUUUUUUCUCAACUUCACUUUUUAUGCGGCGGUACGUAGAUUUUUUAUUUAUGUUUUAAUAAUAGUGGCUGUUCACCAAAGAUUGGCUCUAGUUUAGCCUCGAAGGACCAUGUUCAAGUCCACAAGGACUUGAGGGUAAUUAAGGGGAU